GGAUGGGUGGCCGAGUGGUUGAUGGCACCGGUCUUGAAAACCGGCAUGGCGGCAACGUCAUCGUGGGUUCGAAUCCCACCCCAUCCGCCA
rnacentral:tRNA from 1 species